CUUGUCUUUUGCGUACCGUAUGUUUCCUCGGCGGGCUUGCCUGCCGGUUGGACAUUAUCAAACCUUUUUGUAGUUGCAAUCAGCGUCAGAAAACAAACAAUAAUUACAACUUUCAACAACGGAUCUCUUGGUUCUGGCAUCGAUGAAGAACGCAGCGAAAUGCGAAAAGUAGUGUGAAUUGCAGAAUUCAGUGAAUCAUCGAAUCUUUGAACGCACAUUGCGCCCCUUGGUAUUCCAUGGGGCAUGCCUGUUCGAGCGUCAUUUUGUACCCUCAAGCACUGCUUGGUGUUGGGCGUUUGUCCUGCAAAGGACUCGCCUGAAAGCGAUUGGCGGCCAACGUACUGGUGGUAGAGCGCAGCACAAUUUGCGUCUCUCCCUUCUACGUCGGCGUCCAUGAAGCCUUUUUUCAACGUUUGACCUCGGAUCAGGUAGGGAUACCCGCUGAACUUAAGCAUAUCAAUAAGCGGAGGAAAGG
rnacentral:rRNA from 1 species